AAGCAGUUAGCUGACCUGCUACAACAGACAACGAGCACUGACCCAACAGCAAUUAGAUGCCUUGUCCUGAGAGGACUUCCAGUCAUUCUUGGGGAUGAUGCAUCUAUGUUCUUUAAGAGCAGUUUGGCUCUUAAUGAGGGAGAUUCCAUAAACAUUCCAGUGGGAAUCCUCUGCUAUGAGGACACCAGCGCUGCAAACCCAGCAAGCUCAGCAUUGCCACAACUAAACCCCUCAAGAGUGGGGAUCAUCCUAGAGGGCAGCCUUGUCAUGGAUGUACUCACCAACCUACCUCAAGCAAUGUGCCUCUUGUUUGGUUUUACCUAUGCACUCCACCUGCAGUACCCAAAGU